GGAUUUAAUGAACGAGUUGCAUGAACCACUUUUAUGGUCCCGCUUUGUCAUUUUCGUUGAGUUAUGCGCUGUUGGGAAGCUGAUUGUGAGCCGGCACAGUAUAGUGAGAGCAGCAGCCUCAGCCCUGACAUCUGCCCAGCUCCUAAACAUUUCUCGUCCUGCUGUGUCCUUCUGUUCACCAGACCUCUGUCCUUCAAGUUUACAGCAGCAAGAUCCAAGAUGACGACCGCCUGCAAGAUCCAGCUAAGAAGUCAUGUUUGCCAGCCGUGCCGAAGACAAGCCUACCAGCUGCCCAGACAUUAAGCUUGCUGGCUGUGUCGUUGUCAAGUUCGCUGGCCACGGCUCACUCCAGCCUGCAAGUCGCUCCAAAGACAAGCCCUCAGGCAGCUCCGAAUUCAAGUUUGCCUGCUGCUCCAAAGACAAGC
ensembl:lncRNA